rnacentral:rRNA from 1 species
GGGGGGUGCAAGCGUUGCUCGGAAGCACUGGGCGUAAAGCGUCCGCAGGUGGGUGUGUGUGUCGGAUGUGAAAGCCCAGGGCUCAACCCUGGAACUGCAUUCGAAACUGCACAUCUUGAGUACGGGAGAGGGAAGCAGAAUUCCUGGUGUAGAGGUGAAAUUCGUAGAUAUCAGGAGGAAUACCUGUGGCGAAAGCGGCUUCCUGGUCCGAUACUGACACUCAUGGACGAAAGCGCGGGGAGCAAACAGGAUUAGAUACCCUGGUAGUCCGCGCCGUAAACGAUGGAUGCUAGUUGAUGGGUCUUUUACCGACUCAUUGACGUCGCUAACGCAUUGAGCAUCCCGCCUGGGGAGUACGGUCGCAAGAUUA